ACCGGGAGCAAGGAGGAAGUCAGUCAGCCUGCUGGGAGCACAGAGUAUGACACAGCUCCUGGAAGCAAAGGUAGGGAAAGUGUCCUGAGCAAGAUCAGGAAAAGCGUGAGCCACUAUGCAAGGAGCGUGCUAACGGCUCCGAAGCCACACAAGACAAGCCAGUCAUCCAACAGUCAUUUAAAGGGCCUGGAAGCAUCUGAGUUCAUCAUCUCAGAAGCAAACUCUGACACCAUCUCACAGCAGCCCAACUGCAGGAGAGGUGACCCUACAAAACACCAGGAAGGGGAGUGGGUAGAUGAGACUGAAGAGAGAGGAGCCCAGACAGGCUUUGUUAGGGUAGAGGUGUAGCUCAGUAUAGAACAUGUGCUUGGCAUGUGUGAGGCCCAGGUUCGAUCCCCAGGAUGGGUAGAGGAGGAGAUAGAAGUAACAUCGUGCCAGGCUUUGCAGCAGGCUGUUGGGGCUCAGAGCUACUGCGGCACCCUGAGAGACUACAGACCCUGAAGCGGUAUUACCCCACCCAAAGUGCAAAGUUGCCGAGUAUUCAUCCACCGUCCCUGUCUGCCAUUGGUCGAGGGUACUUCUGACUCACCACGCAUGCUUCCUGCACUGCCAUAGAAACAAGUCUUCAAGCUGAAAGGUUUAGUGCAAGUGAGAAGGCAUGAAUUAAGAAACAUGACAGCAGGGGUUGGGGAUUUAGCUCAGUGGUAGGCCCUGGGUUCUGUCCCUAGUUCCGGAAAAAAAAAAAAG
rnacentral:lncRNA from 1 species